AAUAUAUUGUUCACUCACUGUAAGAUGUUACUAGAUCUAGCUCAUGUUAGAAAACAUUAAGUCAUUAAUAAAUUGUACAAUGAAGUCUAU